GCUUCAGCAACGAAGGAAUGGCAGAAGAAGUACGGUGAUGUCGUGGGCUACUACAACGGCACCAUGCCUGGAGUCAUUCUGCGAGACCUUGAAUUUAUAAAACGUGUCUACGUCCAAGACUUCCAGUCUUUCGCAGGACGAACGGUAUUGUCGGCCGUGUCAAGAAGCCUCGCUGUCAACGAAGUUCGAAUUAGCAGAGUGAGUGGCGAAGAUUGGCGCCACUUAAAGAAAAUCAUGCUUCCCGCCUUCAAGACG